GAAACCAAAUAAACACUACUGCUUUCACAAGUUCCACUCUUCACUGUAUAAACUGCAUGGUGCUUCUUCCCUCUCCUUUAUUUGCACAAGUUCUUCAGAUCCUAAAAAAUUACACGCAUGCACGUAAAUUAUUAGUUUGCCAUAACAUGUAAUAAAUUGAUACUGUUAUCUAGUACAAAGUAACGAAGAAGAUUUCAUAAUGCAUAUAUGAAUGCAUCCUAAAAUUAGCAAGAUUUUUUUUCCCUACACCCGUGUGCAUAUAUACUGUUAGAUAUGGAAAUUGAGAAACAAGAAAGUAAGGAAUAGAUCAUAAAGUAAUAAAUAUAAGAGGAAAGAAAGACAAAGGUUAAAAAAAAGUAUAAGAUAAAUGUAAAAUUUAGAAUAUAAAAAAACUAAUUAGGAUUCUUAUUAGAUCUUCUUAGCAGAACAAUAUUUAAGUAUCGAUUUAUAAGUCUCACUUUGACUUUGUAUAUGCUAUUUUUACACUUCUACAAAAGAGGGAGGAAGAGAAAAAACAAAAUGUGAGUUUUUCUUUUUUUGGAAUAAAAAAUAAAUGUACAAGGAAGGGUGAAGUUGUAACAGUGGGAAUUAUAUUUAUAACAUUAUAAUUUCAAUAAAUAAACAAAUGUUUUAUAUCAUAAUAGGAAACUUUGCUGGAUUUUAAAUUUUAAAUUAUAGUAGUAGUUAACUACAAUUACGAUUACAGUAUAUUAAUAUUCUAGAAUUUUAUGUAAUUGCAAUUUAAAACCUUGAUUGAAAUAAUUAAAAUGGACAAUAUAUAGAUUUUAUAUGAAGCUUACCAUGGGGCGCUAUACUAAAAUCACUAUCUAGUAGUGGUAUGGGGGAGGUGGUGAUGCAUAGACAUAGUGUGGAGGAGGUGGAGAUGGAUACUUGUAUGGUUUCUUAGGUGGUGGUGGAGGUGACUUGUAGUAGUAAGCUGGGGGUGGUGGAGAAGGGUACUUGUAUGGUGGAGGUGGAGGAGAAGAGUACUUGUAUGGAGGAGGAGGGGACUUGUACUUGUAUACUGGGGGUGGAGGAGAUGGGUAUUUGUAGGGUUUCUUAGGAGGUGGUGGAGGAGAAGGGUACUUGUAGGGUGGGGGUGGUGACUUGUAUUUGUAAACUGGUGGUGGUGGUGAUGGGUAUUUGUAGGGCUUCUUAGGUGGUGGUGGUGGGGACUUGUACUUGUAAACUGGUGGUGGUGGUGACUUGUAUUUGUAAACUGGAGGUGGGGGUGAUGGGUAUUUGUAGGGCUUUUUAGGUGGUGGUGGAGGAGAAGGGUACUUGUAGGGUGGUGGUGGUGACUUGUAUUUGUAAACUGGUGGUGGUGGUGAUGGGUAUUUGUAAGGCUUCUUAGGAGGUGGUGGAGGAGAUGAAUACUUGUAGGGUGGUGGUGGGGACUUGUACUUGUAAACUGGUGGUGGUGGAGAUGAAUAGUCGUACUUGUCAGCUGAGGCUUGAGAUGACAAGCUUAGAGAAACUAUUGCCAAUACAAGAGUGAGAGUAAGAGAGGCCAUUAGAGACCCCAUUUUCUCCCAACUUCAAAUAGGGUUU
rnacentral:lncRNA from 1 species